rnacentral:rRNA from 1 species
AGGACGAACGCUGGCGGCGUGCUUAACACAUGCAAGUGGAGCGACGAAACCGGGCUUGCCCGGUGGCAGAGCCGCGAACGGGUGAGUAACACGUGGGUAACCUGCCCCGAUGAUUGGGACAACUCCGGGGAAACCGGAGCUAAUACCAAAUGUGCUCUUUCCCUCUAAGGGGAUUGAGGAAAGGAAGCUUCGGCCUCCGCAUCGGGAUGGGCCCGCGGCCCAUUAGCUUGUGGUGGGUAACGCCUACCAAGCGACGAUGGGUAGCUGGUCUGAGAGGACGAUCAGCCACACUGGGACUGAGACACGGCCCAGACUCCUACGGGAGGCAGCAGUGGGGAAUCUUGCGCAAUGGGCGAAAAGCCUGACGCAGCAACGCCGCGUGGGGAAGAAGGCCUUCGGGUUCGUUAAACCCUUCGAGUUGGACGAAGCUUCGCCGGUGAACUAGACCGGCUGGAGUGACGGUAACCUUCCAACAAAGAAGACUACCGGACUAACGUACGUAGCCAGACAGCCGACC